rnacentral:rRNA from 1 species
AAAUUGAAGAGUUUGAUCAUGGCUCAGAUUGAACGCUGGCGGCAGGCCUAACACAUGCAAGUCGAGCGGAAACGAGUUAUCAAAG